CACGGCGGGGCUCUUUCCUCAGCGUGAGGCCAAGACCGCUCCGCUCGCGUGCCUCCGAGCUGCGCCGGGGAAGGCGCGCUCCUCUCCUGCGGGGUAAGGAGGUUCAGCUGGCCCCACGUCCCCGCCACACGCAGAGCCCCCGAGGUAAACGGAAGAGCGGCUUUCCCUGACAGCCUCCCGGCCACGGGAAACGCGGGCAGGAGAAGCGGGGGAGAGCGGGAAAACGCCGGCCCCGACCUUUCCGGUCACUCAGGGGCCGGACCGAAGGGCAGCCUGGCCAGAGCGCUGAACUUACCCCGACCCGGGCGGGCGGUGGCGCGGCCGCCCGGUGCCCUUCGAGCGCCGCCGCCCCCCGAGCAACGGCCGGAGCGGCGCCCGGCGGGGGGUUCCGGCUGUGGGGCGGCUGAUGGGCCGCCCGGGGAGGGGGAAGCGCUCCUCGCAUCAGGGCCUGGCCCGGGCUCGGCGGCGGGCGGCACCCCCGGCCCCCCCGGCGGCACCUGCCCGCCGGGCCCCGGCCCGCCCCGCAUCGCGGAACUGAGUUCGCAUUCGUGUUCAAUGAAGGAGAAACACGGGCACCUCCCCGAAAAAGGCGAAGAACUCUAAGAACCGAUCACAACAGCACUUCCACACUUAUUUCUCGGAGGCUUUCAGAAACUUGGUCCAGUAGCGAAGUGCAGACACGUGAACUAGUUUAACCCUUGCUUGGAUCGAAGUUAUCAGUUACCCGCUCAAGCGAGCUCACUACAGGCAAAGGUUAGAACUAAUUUGAGCAUGUCUCAUUAGGCUUGAGAAAAGUGCAGAACAAGCAGAAUGGACAAUAACAUUUGGAUACAAACAGGAUAGCAUGCAUUAAGAGUUUUGGCCUGAAACCCUUGGUCUCAUCAGCUUUUAAUGUUUUGCCAAUAAAAUAGAUUGUGUUUAACUAUUUUGUAGCAGAAGUUGAUUAGUCCUAGAUUAAUUUGCUGGUAAGAUUAAAUAUGUGAUAUUUGAGAACAGUGUGACAUCAGCCCUAAUUUCUGUUCUGUAAAUACGGUAACAGCAAAAAGUAUAGGACAGACUGAUGUUUCUAUUUUACCUUCCUUUUUAGUUGCGACAUGCAGAUAUAAUUUAAGUUUUGCCAUUUUGUAGCAUUCACCAGAAUACUCACAUUUGUAGACAGUGCUGCACUAUGACAGUAAUUAAUGUAAAAUUGGUAUGUUUUUCAUAAUGACCAAAAUACGCUUUGCCAGCUCUCAGUAAAAGAUCACUAACUAUAAACUGAUUUGUUGUAACAAAAUGCUGUGUGUCCAUUUUAAAAACUGAAAUUUAAUGAACUGUAAAGGUAACUGAAAUGUAAUAAAUACGGCAUUUUGAAAUGCUGCUUUUUUUUUUUUUUUUGUAUAAACCACUGAAGUUACAUCUUUAAUAUUGGAGGCAUUUCUUUAAAGCCCUAUCUUUUUAUGAUCUCAAAAUACUUAAUUAAAAGAACAAGCCUUACUAAAAUGAGUAUAUCAGCUAUGUAGGUGGUAAAUAUAACUGUUCCAAUAUAUAUUCAAAAGUACUAAAUUCAGACUGAGCAUUAAGGGGGAAGAUCCAACAACUUGAUCCAUAAAGCUACAGAAAAGGAUCUCUUGUGAUACCAUCUAACUCAGGAUUGUAAAGCCCAAAAACUUAACUUGCUAUUUUGGUUUGAAAGUCCUAUGUACCAUUUGACAAGUUUUUACAGAUUUUAGUAUUUAUUUAGUUUUGUGGCUUAAAACCCCUCUGGGUUAAAUAAAGACUUUCAGUAGUUUCUUUAAGCAUGAAUUGUAGUGUUCUUAAUGUGGGUUUAAUAUUGUCUCCCAUUCUAACAGCAAUCAUUGGUAUUAGUCACAAAAUAGCUGUGCAUAAAGGGCAUAUCAGUGUGUCAUUUUUAGUGCUUUCUGUAAUCAAGCAACUCUGUAUUUUAAGUAUAUAAAAUUCUACGAGUCAGUUGUUCAACUUCUAAAAAACCCUUUAUUAUAUAUUCUUGUUCUCAUUUUUGUAUGUUAAUUUAUCUUCAAUUAAGUACAUUAUAUAAAGGCAAGUCUAAAAUAAAGGAGUUAAAGGUUGAAAUAAAGUACCCUAUAAAAGCUGA